rnacentral:rRNA from 1 species
GAGUUUGAUCGUGGCUCAGAACGAACGCUGGCGGCAUGCCUAAUACAUGCAAGUCGAACGCUCGUAGCAAUACGGGAGUGGCGGACGGGUGAGUAACGCGUGGGAACCUGCCCAGUGGUAGGGAAUAACCGCGGGAAACUGCGGCUAAUACCCUAUGAGCCCUACGGGGGAAAGAUUUAUCGCCAUUGGAGGGGCCCGCGUCGGAUUAGCUAGUUGGUGGGGUAACGGCCCACCAAGGCGACGAUCCGUAGCUGGUCUGAGAGGAUGAUCAGCCACACUGGGACUGAGAUACGGCCCAGACUCCUACGGGAGGCAGCAGUAGGGAAUAUUGGACAAUGGGCGAAAGCCUGAUCCAGCAAUGCCGCGUGAGUGAAGAAGGCCUUAGGGUUGUAAAGCUCUUUCGGCGGGAAGAUGAUGACGGUACCCGCAGAAGAAGCCCCGGCUAACUUCGUGCCAGCCGCCGCAGUAAC